UAUGCAGGCGGUUUUUGUAAGCUUGAUGUGAAAUCCCCGGGCUUAACCUGGGAACUGCAUUGAGAACUACAAGACUAGAGUGUGUCAGAGGGGGGUGGAACUCCGCGUGUAGCAGUGAAAUGCGUAGAGAUGCGGAGGAACACCGAUGGCGAAGGCAGCCCCCUGGGAUAACACUGACGCUCAGAUACGAAAGCGUGGGUAGCAAACA
rnacentral:rRNA from 1 species